CAGUAGCCGCGGUAAUACGAAGGGGGCUAGCGUUGCUCGGAAUGACUGGGCGUAAAGGGCGCGUAGGCGGCGAUCAAAGUCAGGCGUGAAAUUCCUGGGCUCAACCUGGGGGCUGCGCUUGAUACUUGGUUGCUUGAGUGGGGAAGAGGGUCGUGGAAUUCCCAGUGUAGAGGUGAAAUUCGUAGAUAUUGGGAAGAACACCGGUGGCGAAGGCGGCGACCUGGUCCUUUACUGACGCUGAGGCGCGAAAGCGUGGGGAGCAAACAGGAUUAGAUACCCCCGUAGUCCCUGUCUCUUAUAC
rnacentral:rRNA from 1 species